GACAGAGGGUGCAAACGUUGUUCGGAAUUACUGGGCGUAAAGCGCGUGUAGGCGGCUAAGUAAGUCGGGCGUGAAAUCCCACGGCUCAACCGUGGAAGUGCACUCGAAACUGCGUAGCUAGAGUCCUGGAGAGGAAGGUGGAAUGCUUGGUGUAGGGGUGAAAUUCGUAGAUAUCAAGCGGAACACCGGUGGCGAAGGCGGCCUUCUGGACAGUGACUGACGCUGAGACGCGAAAGCGUGGGGAGCAAACAGG
rnacentral:rRNA from 1 species